GUCUGGGACUUGAACCAGUCACCCAUGUGAGAGUUCAGCACCUUUAGCUACCGUGCCACCUGCUGGCCCUCAAGCUGCAUCUUUAACAAGUUCCCAGGGGACACCAUCAGUGAAUGCACACGUCCUAUGGCAAAAAUAACAACUAAAAGAAGCCAAGAGCCUGCUGGCUGUACAGUGAGGAGUGGGAGGUGGUCCUCAGCAUCGAAGCUGGGUAGGACGCCGCAGGGCACGGAGGGACCCGGAGCUGGGCAUCCUGUCUGGCGCUGAAAAUCGCCAUGGGGAAGGGUGUUUGGACACUCCUGACUGGAUUUCCCAGGGAGCCAAAAGGCUUGUCCCCUGUGUCUGAAGCUAUGGCCACCUUGGCACCCCUCAGUCUUCAGGAAGGGUGGCAGAUGGUCAGCCUGUGGAGUGACUCUGUAGGAGGCUGGAAGGGGGCAGCCACGUCACUGGCUCUGUCCCCCAGCCCAGCAGCUGCUGCCUUCCAGCGUGGGUUUGCCUGUCCCCUAACUGAGCCAACACAUACAAGGACUUGGGCAGGGCAGACCCUGGCCUCUGAGUGCCACCAGCGUCUGCACCAUGCCAUUCUUGCUGAUUAAGGGGUGCCUCCAGCUUCAGCCACGUGUACCUCCUCAACCUUACAACCGUAGCACACUCUGCCUCCUCUGGGAGUUUUCCUGAUGCCCACACUCCCCCUCCACCUCCGCCUGUCCCUCAGGUCUCAGCUGCCAUGGCACCAGCUCAGAGGCCCUCCAGGCACCCAGCUGCAGAGGCCCCCACGUCGUGUCUCCUAGCCUUCAUUUUCUACCUUAAUUAGUCUCCUGCUUCCAUCUUCGCAAUCCCAAACCACUUCCAUGCCUCUCUCUGUUUUUCAUUUUUAUUUUUGGAACAUUAAAAUAAAUAAGCAAACUGUUUUGGACACACUUUUGGAUUUACAAAACUCUUAGAAAAACAGUACAGAGAGUUCCCGAAAACGCUUCGUCCAGUUUCCCCUAACGUCAAUGCAAACCCCUCGCACAACCACGGUGUGUUUCAGGAAAUAAACACCGAACAGUCCAGGCGUGUGUGCAGAUCACCAGCUCUCCCACCCAUGGCCUUUGCUGCUCCGGAAGUCCGUCCGGGAUCUCACUCUGCUCCCAGUCCCUGCGUCUCCUUGGUCUCCUCCGGUCUGGGCACAUUUUCAGCAUUUCUUGGCCUUUCAUGACCUUGACACUGAUGAGGAGGGCUGAGCAGGUAUUUUGUCGAACGUCCCCAACCUGGUCUGGCCGCUAUUUUCUCAUGAGUACUCCGAGGUUAUAGGGCCUGGAGGAGACCCCACGGAGGUGUCACUCCCUGCUCAUCACACUGUAUCUGGGGGUCCACCACGACGCCUCCCCUGGCCAGCGCAGUCUGCCAGCUUUGUUCGCUGCCUCGUCACUGUUCUCACUUCCUGUGCCCUGCUCAUAGAUGAGUCACCCUCCACAGCGCUUGUCAUCAAUGACCUAUGAUAGAGUCUGC